AUUGAACGCUGGCGGCAGGCCUAACACAUGCAAGUCGAGCGGAUGAAGAGAGCUUGCUCUCUGAUUUAGCGGCGGACGGGUGAGUAAUGCCUAGGAAUCUGCCUGGUAGUGGGGGAUGACGUUCCGAAAGGAACGCUAAUACCGCAUACGUCCUACGGGAGAAAGCAGGGGACCUUCGGGCCUUGCGCUAUCAGAUGAGCCUAGGUCGGAUUAGCUAGUUGGUGAGGUAAUGGCUCACCAAGGCGACGAUCCGUAACUGGUCUGAGAGGAUGAUCAGUCACACUGGAACUGAGACACGGUCCAGACUCCUACGGGAGGCAGCAGUGGGGAAUAUUGGACAAUGGGCGAAAGCCUGAUCCAGCCAUGCCGCGUGUGUGAAGAAGGUCUUCGGAUUGUAAAGCACUUUAAGUUGGGAGGAAGGGCAUUAACCUAAUACGUUAGUGUUUUGACGUUACCAACAGAAUAAGCACCGGCUAACUUCGUGCCAGCCGCCGCAGUAACAC
rnacentral:rRNA from 1 species